GAUAAAGGCAUGCUAGAUAAAGCCGGAGGGGUGUAGGGAGGAGUGGAGGAGAGAGCAGAUCGCGGCCACGGUUUCAGGUCAUUGGCCCCCUCGGCACAUCGUGUCUCUUCCACGACUCGGAGCUGCAAACUCAGACCCGGCCUCCUAAGAUGGGCAACUUUUACUUGAAUGAGGCUGGCGAGGCGCUGGGCAGUAGCUGUGGGAGUCGGUGGCCUGGAGGAACAGAUUGUGCGACUCCAGGCAUUUUGGCUUCUCAGUCAAAGACCUGCUGAAAUGUCACGGUCUGAGGAAGCCCCAAGGCAGCCCAAUAAUCUGAAAAUCCAGGAGGCAGGAAAUGCUCAACUGAACUAUUAUUUCCUCUUUAAAGCAUUUCUGGGCUGAAGAUCAGACACGAGCUGCUGAAAAUGCUGCUGUCCAUUGUGACAACCUAGAGGAACAGAGUUCUAAUCGGACAGACAUGAUUUCUCCUAAAAACAAGGCAAAAAUGAAAAGAUGAUGAUGGCCUGGUCCACCCUCUCUGCAGAAUCCCCCACUUUAUUGGAAGGCACUCCUGAGUUUCCGAACAUUUGAGAGUAUUCACAACCAGUCAACUCCCCAGUAUAGUCAUAAGCAUUCAAUAGAAUACUAUACUUUCAAAAAGUGCCUAAAAUCACCUACUUUUAAAAUAAAUUACCUCGACUCUUGAGUCAAACAAACCCCCAACUGCUGUAAGAAUUCAUGGGUAUUUUUAAUCCAUUAAGAGACACGUCAAAAUAUAUAUGCUUAUAAGCUUAAUGGAAAUAGUAAUUAAAUAAUUUGAAAUUUUUGAAAUACUGUUUCCCUUUUGUACAGUGCCCACCACAAAGGCUUGAGCUACAAAGUACAUUUUAAAUGCUAAGUUGAAUUAAGGUUGAAUUUCAAAUGUAUUUCUAAUUUGUAAAGACAUUUUUUUUAAACUUAUUUUUCCUUUUUCUCUCCAAAGCCCCAUGGUACAUAGUUGUGUAUUUUCAGUUGUGGGUCCUUCUCCUAGUUGUGGCAUGUGGGAUGCCGCCUCAGCAUGGCUUGAUGAGCGGUGCCUUGUCCUUGCCCAGGAUCUGAACCGGCAAAACCCUGGGCUUUCUAAGCGGAGCAUGGAAACUUAAGCACUCGGCCACGGGGCCAGCCCCAUGUAAAGACAUUUUAAAAUAGCACCAAGUAUCCCAGAGUUUCCACCUCUGAGUGGAGGGCCAAUUUCAUCAAAGUAACAAGAAAAGGGCCUUGGACCCACGGACAAAUAAGCGACAUUAAAGAGAGUGCAUGGGAGAC
rnacentral:lncRNA from 1 species